UUGGAAGGGAUAUAAAGGCGGGUACCGUGUGUGUGGAGGCAGGGCACACAUGUGGGCCCCCGCACGGUCGCACCAUAGUGGGUUCGUGUACCUGCACUGCAUGUACGUUCAUACGCUUGUGCAUGUACAUGCCUUGGCAGAGUGCGAAUGCGUAUGUCAAUACAAGGACAUUCUUGCUCGAGUCUCUGUCAAAGAAACAAAGGUCAGGUUGACAUGGCGAUAAUUACGGUGGAUCUAGAGAUUUAGGGGGACAUCUAUCCAAUGUAGAGCUAGAAGCCUUAUUUGAAAGUUCUCGAAUGAAAAUCCAAAGGAGAUACGAAGUGUAAGCCUGUAGCUGGCCCUUAUAAAUAACUUUAAACGUGUGCAGAGAAGUUUGUUUUCAACUAAUUUAUUUGUCCUUAAUUUUAUAUAUUUAAGAAUAGAGGGAUAGUUACUUACACAUACACAGACCUGAUAUGUUGGGCCUACUUGUUGUAGUUGCUAUUCAAUAGUUCUUGUUUGGUUAGUCGAUGCAUUUUAGACUAACUAGUACAUCAAUCCGUGCUUUGCACGAACUUGUA
rnacentral:lncRNA from 1 species